rnacentral:rRNA from 1 species
GACGUAGGGCGCGAGCGUUGUCCGGAUUUAUUGGGCGUAAAGAGCUCGUAGGCGGCUUGUCGCGUCGACUGUGAAAUCCCGAGGCUCAACUUCGGGCUUGCAGUCGAUACGGGCAGGCUAGAGUUCGGUAGGGGAGACUGGAAUUCCUGGUGUAGCGGUGAAAUGCGCAGAUAUCAGGAGGAACACCGAUGGCGAAGGCAGGUCUCUGGGCCGAUACUGACGCUGAGGUGCGAAAGCGUGGGGAGCAAACAGG